GCGGUCAACGGCUAGGAGAUCAAGAAAUGGAGAAAAAUACAAAAGGAUAGACAAUAUAAGAGGAGAAAAGAAAGGGAGAAAAAAUCCUUACCAAGCCGGAAGAACCGAAGAGAAAGGAAGAGAAACCGGAGGUUAAAUUGGGCUUAAAUUUUACUAAAUUAAUCUGAAUCACCGAUGGCGUAGAAGAUUUUUUGUGCUCGUGAACAAGGGAGAAGCAACAGAGAAGAAAGCGAAACGCGUGGAGCCG
rnacentral:misc_RNA from 1 species